rnacentral:rRNA from 1 species
GACGAACGCUGGCGGCGUGCUUAACACAUGCCAGUCGAACGGAAAGGCCCUGCUUUUGUGGGGUGCUCGAGUGGCGAACGGGUGAGUAACACGUGAGUAACCUGCCCUUGACUUUGGGAUAACUUCAGGAAACUGGGGCUAAUACCGGAUAGGAGCUCCUGCUGCAUGGUGGGGGUUGGAAAGUUUCGGCGGUUGGGGAUGGACUCGCGGCUUAUCAGCUUGUUGGUGGGGUAGUGGCUUACCAAGGCUUUGACGGGUAGCCGGCCUGAGAGGGUGACCGGCCACAUUGGGACUGAGAUACGGCCCAGACUCCUACGGGAGGCAGCAGUGGGGAAUAUUGCACAAUGGGUGGAAGCCUGAUGCAGCAACGCCGUGUGCGGGAUGACGGCCUUCGGGUUGUAAACCGCUUUCGCUCAUGACGAAGCUUUGUGUGACGGUAGUGGGUAAAGAAGCACCGGCUAACUACGUG